UACGUAGGGGGCGAGCGUUGUCCGGAGUUACUGGGCGUAAAGGGCACGCAGGCGGUGCGGCGCGUUUCGCGUGACAGCGGAGGGCUUAACUCUCCGAGGAUGCGAAAGACGGCGGCACUUGAGGGCCAGAGAGGGACACGGAAUUCCGGGUGGAGUGGUGAAAUGCGUAGAGAUCCGGGGGAACACCGAAGGCGAAGGCAGUGUCCUGGCUGGUGACUGACGCUGAGGUGCGAAAGCUAGGGGAGCGAACGGG
rnacentral:rRNA from 1 species